AGAACGAACGCUGGCGGCAUGCCUAACACAUGCAAGUCGAACGAUGCUUUCGGGCAUAGUGGCGCACGGGUGCGUAACGCGUGGGAAUCUGCCCCUUGGUUCGGAAUAACAGUGGGAAACUACUGCUAAUACCGGAUGACGACGUAAGUCCAAAGAUUUAUCGCCGAGGGAUGAGCCCGCGUAGGAUUAGCUAGUUGGUGAGGUAAUGGCUCACCAAGGCGACGAUCCUUAGCUGGUCUGAGAGGAUGAUCAGCCACACUGGGACUGAGACACGGCCCAGACUCCUACGGGAGGCAGCAGUGGGGAAUAUUGGACAAUGGGCGCAAGCCUGAUCCAGCAAUGCCGCGUGAGUGAUGAAGGCCUUAGGGUUGUAAAGCUCUUUUACCAGGGAUGAUAAUGACAGUACCUGGAGAAUAAGCUCCGGCUAACUCCGUGCCAGCAGCCGC
rnacentral:rRNA from 1 species